UGGUAGACUUCGUGCCGUGUCCGGGGGUGUCCGCGCUCGACUGUGUGCGUCGGUCGGCGUAAGGGUCAAUCGGAGUUUUCCUCGUAUUGCGCUACUCAGUGCUAUCGUGUUUUUAGUCUUGCGAGGAUUUGAGUGAAAGCGCUCAGCUAGCACGUUAAGGAAAACUCCUUCCCGUUUCGUUUUCUGUGGCCCGAGGUUAGCAACCAACAAAACCAUCCAAAAUGGACGCGAUCAAGAAGAAAAUGCAGGCGAUGAAGAUCGAGAAGGAUAACGCCCAGGACAAAGCGGACACCUGCGAGAACCAGGCGAAGGAUGCUAACCUGCGCGCGGACAAGAUCAUGGAGGAGGUCGCCGAUCUGACCAAGCGUCUCGAGCAGGUCACCCAGGAUCACGAGAAGUUCAAGGCGUCGCUCGAGCAGGCCACCAAGGACUGCGAGGAGAAGGACAAGCUGCUCACCUCGACCGAGGCCAACGUUGCCGCGCUGACCCGCAAGGUGCAGCAGGUUGAGGAGGAUUUGGAAAAGUCUGAGGAACGUUCGUCCGCCGCGCUGUCCAAGCUGCUGGAAGCCACCCAGUCGGCUGACGAGAACAACCGUAUGUGCAAAGUGUUGGAGAACCGUUCCCAGCAGGAUGAGGAGCGUAUGGACCAGCUGUCCAACCAGCUGAAGGAAGCCCGUAUGCUCGCUGAGGACGCUGAUACCAAGUCCGACGAGGUGUCCCGCAAGCUGGCCUUCGUUGAAGACGAGCUGGAAGUGGCUGAGGAUCGUGUCAAGUCCGGCGAGGCCAAGAUCAUGGAGCUGGAGGAGGAGCUGAAGGUCGUCGGUAACUCCCUGAAGUCUCUGGAGGUGUCGGAGGACAAGGCCAACCAGAGAGUGGAAGAGUUCAAGCGCCAGCUGAAGACCCUGACCAUCAAGCUGAAGGAGGCUGAGACCCGCGCCGAGAACGCCGAGAAGAACGUCAAGAAGCUCCAGAAGGAGGUCGACAGACUAGAAGACAAACUGAUGAACGAAAAGGAGAAGUACAAGGCGAUCUGCGACGAUCUGGAUUCGACCUUCGCCGAACUUACCGGAUACUAAACUGCACGCUAACUUCCGUCUUAACGUUGGGCGUCACAUUGCCUGCCCGUCCACCAGCUUGCUCCAAACAACCCUCCCCCACCCCCCCUUUUUACCUACUGCUGCCACUAUCUCUCUCUCUCUAUCUUUCCGAAUCCUGAUCGCUCCCGAUUGCACCGCUGCCAAGAUCUCCUCCAAUAUUAUCCUCACAGCAGCCACCGUUACAUCCCAGCCGAUCGUUACGGCGCGCUCUCUCGCUAUCUCUCGUUCUCUCGUGUUAUAUCCUUCGGGCGCGCCCUCUGCCUUUCCGUGUACUUCUGCCUCGUCCAGCCAGUUUGGCCCGUUCGGUCCUGAAUGGCGGCACCGACCGAGCCCUAAAGAUACGGAUUGUGCACACGACAAAAAAACAAACCCAAACGGUGCCAAAGCUAUCGAUCGACCCUUAGAUGAGCUGGGCGUCAACAAGGACCGGUACAAGUCUUUGGCCGACGAGAUGGACUCCACGUUCGCCGAGUUGGCCGGCUACUAAGCACCUGCCGGCUCGAUCGAUCGUACGAUCGAUCCGGCGAUGGUCAGUUACUGGUGCACCGCCGUGCACUGAACGUGACCCACGCCACCAAGAACACCUGCCAACCCGUGUGACCGUUUCAAGGCAUUUCUUACCAACUGUUGCGAUCGAAGCAAGCGAGACGAGCGUAGUGAACGAGCCCAAAGGAGUUUUAGCAAAUCAAGUUCGCGAACAGAGAGAAAGCGAGAGAAAGAGAGAGGGAGAGAGAGCGAUCACGUUAGAACAUCUUAAAACGCGAUAUUUAACCGUCACCGUCCCGAGAUAUGGUAUGGGGAGCCUUACAGCCCCGAAAAAUAGCACAAUACUUGGAGAGCCACAACCACACCAGUGAAACCCUCCACGAGACCAUCCUAGAAGCAAGGUUACAUACGAUCAUGUUGUUGUUGUUGUUGUUGUUGAUGUCGUUGUCAUUUGUUGCUAGUUCGCCAGCGUUUGCAAAUGGGCUCGGGGGCACCCGCGAAGAACCUUGCCAUUUGGGGGGCACAUCGUAGCUAGUGGAGGAUUGUGACACACUGUCUUACAAACCGGGUGAACAGAGAACACCAAACACCAACAGACACUUUCUUGAAGCAUGUGAAUCUUCCAACGUCUACUUUCUCUUGAUAAAUGUAUUAUUUAUAUCUUUUGAAUAAAACUCGGAGGACGGUCAAUAAUUUUAAGUACAACAUCCAGAAA